CACAUUUUGGUUAACUGUUGUACUAUUUGCCUCAGGACCUUCAACUUCCAUUGGGAGGCUGGGAGAGGAUGUAGAAUGGGGAUACUCUAGACCAGAAACAUUAGUGUCUCUAGUUCUGACGCAAGCAUUAAUAACACUCCUGACAUCAUCUUGUUCCAAUUGUUCACAUGGAACAUUUUGAAGAGGCAACUUAUUAUCGUUGCUCUGCUGUGCCAUUUGCUCCACGGAAGAGAUCUUCAGAAUUUUACAUGGUUCUGCAAGAUCUAGAGAUUGGUUGACUGCUGUAUUAUUUGCCUCAGGGCCUUCAACUUCCAUUGGAAGGCUGUGAGAGGAUGUAGAAUGGGGAUACUCUAGACCAGAACCAUUUGUGUCUCUAGUUCCGACGCAAGCAUUAAUAACACUCCUGACAUCAUCUUGUUCCAAUUGUUCACAUGGAACAUUUUGAAAAGGCAACUUAUUAUCGUUGCUCUGCUGUGCCACAUGCUCCACGGAAGAGAUCUUCAGAAUUUUAUAUGGUUCUGCAAGAUCUAGAGAUUGUGUAUCAGCAUCACC
rnacentral:lncRNA from 1 species